AUUGAACGCUGGCGGCAGGCCUAACACAUGCAAGUCGAACGAGUGGCGGACGGGUGAGUAAUGUCUGGGAAACUGCCUGAUGGAGGGGGAUAACUACUGGAAACGGUCACUAAUACCGCAUACACUCGGAUGUGCCCAGAUUGGAUUAGCUAGUAGGGGGGGUAAAGGCUAACCUCGGCGACGAUCCCUAGCUGGUCUGAGCGGAUGACCAGCCACACUGGAACUGAGACACGGUCCAGACUCCUACGGGAGGCAGCAGUGGGGAAUAUGGCACAAUGGGCGAAAGCCUGAGGCAGCCAUGCCGCGUGUAUGAAGAAGGCCUUCGGGUUGUAAAGUACGUUCAGCGGGGAGGCGUUACCCGCAGAAGAAGCACCGGCUAACUCCGUGCCAGCAGCCGCGGUAAUUC
rnacentral:rRNA from 1 species